ensembl:lncRNA
AUGAGAGGAAGUGUUCCAGACACAGCUCAUCAUCAUUACCCGGAGAGCCUGGGGAACAAAAUACAGAUUUCCUUCCCCAUGCAGAUGAAACCAGACUCUCCGAGGGCAGAGCUCAGAAAUACCCGCUUCCAUAAGGGAGCCGCAAGCACAGGUAGAGCAGUGGUACUGAUGACGGCCGUCUCAGGGGGAGACCCUCAGGCAGAAAGGCCCUCGGGGACAAAACAGAUUCUUCUAGCGAAAUACAGAAAACACACCUGAACUGGGAUGAUUCUUGCCUAAGAGAUGUCCCACUGUGUUUGGCAAACCCACAGCGGGUCCCACGAGCCCAUGUCUGGAACUGCCUGGCCCUCCUUUACCAGUUUAUCAGACUUCCACUUCUGCUGAGGUUAGAAAGAGCCAGAGGCUCUGAUACAAUAAAAAUGAGCUCUGAAGAGGGGCUCUCUCCCUCUUGUAUUCAGAAGAACUGAAAGUUUUAAUAAGUCUCUAGAGAAGCAUGACAACUAUCUGUAGCAUUUUUCUUUGGGAAUUAACCUUUGCCAGUAAUUAUUUAUAUUCAGUAGAAUAACCAUGGGUUUCUCUAUUCCAGUUUCUAGAAUAUAAUUUUCAUAAAUGAGGGUGGUCUCCUAUUUUGAGCUUAAUAUUUUUCUGUUGCUAGAAAGAAUGGUACUGCCUCACUCCAGUUCCUUAGUUUGUGAUCAUGGCUUGAAAUCUCUGCUUUCGGUUACAUUCCUCUGAAUAUAGUCAUGUAUAAUGGCCUCAGGCAUGAUUUAGAAGGCACAGACUGAGCAGGCUGCUUUGUGAGGUGGUGAACUCCCCAUUCCUGAAAGCAUUCAAUCAAUCAAGAUGAAUAGUUACUUGUAACAGAUGCUGUAGUUCUGGUUCUUGAAUUACCAGGAGUUGGAAUAAAAUGAUCUCAGAGACUCUGUCCAUUCUAAGAUACCAUGUUUCCAUGACCCUACACAGAAUAGCUACACAGGUGGAGGAACAUGAGUCAGAGAAGCUUUGCACAAAAGAAGAUUGUUUUCCACAAAUGAAAAUGGGGUGAUUAACUUCUAAUUGCACCCUGUCUUAGUUUUCAGAUGCAUUGGUUCCUUCCCCAUGUGACCAUCUCUUUAUAUCAAGCUUAUGCUGAAUGUGGAUUAUUUUUAAUGUAAUGUUCACAUUGUAAAAGCAAUGAAACAGCAAACAAAGUAGAGCAAAAUAUCAAAAAUCUAAUGACUUUAUCAUAAAAAUUAUCAGCUUGAUACAGUCCUGUUCACUUUAAUAUAAACAUUUGUGGUUAAUUAUAGUGUUGUAUCUUUUUAGUUGAAACAUUCAAGUGUUUUUUUUCAUGUUGCCACACAGUCUUUGGGAUUAAUAUGCAUGUAGCUGUCUUUGUCGAACAUUUAUGGGAUGUCCAUUUUUCCAAAGCUUAAAUUAUAAAUCAUACUGCAGCAAAUACCUUCUCGCCCGAUAUUCCGAAUUAUUUCUUAAGAUUAGAGACAUUAAGUGCAAGUACCAGGUCAAAAACUAGAAGCAUUUUAACAGAUUCUGUUAGGGCUACAUUGCAUUCAAUAGACUGUGGCUGUACUAAUAUAUAGUUUCACACCAAAUUCACCUCACCUUGACCAGCAAGGGAUAUUUUCAUUUUAAAAUUGCUUGGUAACUUUUUUGGUUUGUGUUUCUCUUCAAACAAACAAGAUUGUAUUUUUUAAAGUGGUUCAUCAUUUGAAAAGAAUCUGUAGUGUUCUUUGCCCUUUUAUCUUGUGAGAUGUUAAUGUUUUCUUUGUCCAGUUGUGUGAAAUAUAUGUGUGAAUUUAUUUUUCCAAAUAAAAUAAAGACAUUAACCUUCUAUUUUACUGACAACAUAUUGUCUGUCUCAGUCUGACUGCAUUUUAAAAUGUGUUAUAGUUGUUUCACACAAAAUUAUUUAAUUUUUU